rnacentral:pre_miRNA from 1 species
AUAUUGGGAUUCGAUUGGAUAAUCUGCAUCCUGAGGUUUAGAACAACAGAUGCGUAAUUCUAUCUAAGCCUUGGGAUGCUGAUUAUCUCUUCCUUAUCACCAAUGC